rnacentral:rRNA from 1 species
AUUGAACGCUGGCGGCAGGCUUAACACAUGCAAGUCGAGCGGAGCGAGGGUGCUUGCACCUUAGCUUAGCGGCGGACGGGUGAGUAAUGCUUAGGAAUCUGCCUAUUAGUGGGGGACAACAUUCCGAAAGGGAUGCUAAUACCGCAUACGCCCUACGGGGGAAAGCAGGGGAUCUUCGGACCUUGCGCUAAUAGAUGAGCCUAAGUCGGAUUAGCUAGUUGGUGGGGUAAAGGCCUACCAAGGCGACGAUCUGUAGCGGGUCUGAGAGGAUGAUCCGCCACACUGGGACUGAGACACGGCCCAGACUCCUACGGGAGGCAGCAGUGGGGAAUAUUGGACAAUGGGGGGAACCCUGAUCCAGCCAUGCCGCGUGUGUGAAGAAGGCCUUUUGGUUGUAAAGCACUUUAAGCGAGGAGGAGGCGCUCUAGGAUAAUACCCUAGAUGCGUGGACGUACUCGC